rnacentral:rRNA from 1 species
GAUGAACGCUGGCGGCGUGCCUAAUACAUGCAAGUCGAGCGAACAGACGAGGAGCUUGCUCCUCUGACGUUAGCGGCGGACGGGUGAGUAACACGUGGAUAACCUACCUAUAAGACUGGGAUAACUUCGGGAAACCGAAGCUAAUACCGGAUAAUAUAUUGAACCGCAUGGUUCAAUAGUGAAAGACGGUUUUGCUGUCACUUAUAGAUGGAUCCGCGCCGCAUUAGCUAGUUGGUAAGGUAACGGCUUACCAAGGCAACGAUGCGUAGCCGACCUGAGAGGGUGAUCGGCCACACUGGAACUGAGACACGGUCCAGACUCCUACGGGAGGCAGCAGUAGGGAAUCUUCCGCAAUGGGCGAAAGCCUGACGGAGCAACGCCGCGUGAGUGAUGAAGGUCUUCGGAUCGUAAAACUCCGUUAUUAGGGAAGAACAAAUGUGUAAGUAACUAUGCACGUCUUGACGGUACCUAAUCAGAAAGCCACGGCUAACUACGUG